rnacentral:rRNA from 1 species
UGGGGGGCUAACCUGCAGCGAGCGGGGAAGUAGUUGUCUGCUAGCGCGGAGCUGAUAUGUUAGGAUCCGCUUAUGGGGAACAUUCCGAAGAUGUAAUACCGCAUACGCCCUACGGGGGAAAGCAGGGAUCUUCGGACCUUGCGCUAAUAGAUGAGCCUAAGUCAGAUUAGCUAGUUGGUGGGGUAAAGGCCUACCAAGGCGACGAUCUGUAGCGGGUCUGAGAGGAUGAUCCCGCCACACUGGGACUGAGACACGGCCCAGACUCAAUACGGGAGGCAGCAGUGGGGAAUAUUGGACAAUGGGCGAAAGCCUGAUCCAGCCAUGCCGCGUGUGUGAAGAAGGCCUUUUGGUUGUAAAGCACUUUAAGCGAGGAGGAGGCUACUUGGAUUAAUACUCUAGGAUAGUGGACGUUACUCGCAGAUAAGCACCGGCUAACUCUGUGCCAGCAGCGCGGUAAUACAGAGGGGCGAGCGUUAUCGGAUUUACUGGCGUAAAGCGUGCGUAGGCGGCUUCUAAGUCGGAGUGAAUCCUGAGCUUAACUUAGGAUUGCAUUCGAUACUGGGAGCUAGAGUAUGGUAGAGGAUGGUAGAUUCCAGUGUAGCGUGAAUGCGUAGAA